rnacentral:rRNA from 1 species
AGAAUCAACGCUGGCGGCGUGCCUAACACAUGCAAGUCGCACGAGAAAGGGGCUUCGGCUCUGAGUAAAGUGGCGCACGGGUGAGUAACACGUGAAUAAUCUACCUCCGAGUGGGGAAUAACUGAGAGAAAUCUUAGCUAAUACCGCAUAACACUUACGAGUCAAAGCAGCAAUGCGCUUGGAGAGGAGUUCGCGGCCGAUUAGUUAGUUGGCGGGGUAAUGGCCCACCAAGACGAUGAUCGGUAUCCGGCCUGAGAGGGCGCACGGACACACUGGAACUGAAACACGGUCCAGACUCCUACGGGAGGCAGCAGUGGGGAAUUUUGCGCAAUGGGGGAAACCCUGACGCAGCAACGCCGCGUGGAGGAUGAAAUAUCUUGGUAUGUAAACUCCUUUCGAUGGGAAGAUUAUGACGGUACCCAUAGAAGAAGCCCGGCUAACUUCGCGCCAGCAGCCGC